GGAUUAGAUACCCUGGUAGUCCACGCCGUAAACGAUGUCUACUAGCCGUUGGGGAACUUGAGUCCUUAGUGGCGCAGCUAACGCACUAAGUAGACCGCCUGGGGAGUACGGCCGCAAGGUUAAAACUCAAAUGAAUUGACGGGGGCCCGCACAAGCGGUGGAGCAUGUGGUUUAAUUCGAUGCAACGCGAAGAACCUUACCAGGACUUGACAUCCAGAGAACUUGGCAGAGAUGCCUUGGUGCCUUCGGGAACUCUGAGACAGGUGCUGCAUGGCUGUCGUCAGCUCGUGCCG
rnacentral:rRNA from 1 species